UGAACCCUUAUUGGCAGGCAGAUUCUUUACCACUGGGCCGCCAGGGAAGUCCUCAGAAAUGUCUUGAGCUCUGCCUUCUUCCACCCAAGAGCUUUCUUCCCUCUGGCUGCCCGUUUCCCUGGGUCAGCCACCCUGAAGGUGCAGGAGGACACACACAGGAGAGACUUGGAGGAGCAUGGCCAAUCUCCUUUCUGGGAAGGGCGGUGCUCCCCUGGGAGUGAUUUGGCAAAAUCGGGGCAUAUCAAGUAGAGAGCAUUGUGUGUCUGUCACAGACCAGGUUCUCCAGGGGGAGGGGUGGGCCCGUGGGUGGUCGAAGGUGGCACUGGUCCCGAGAGGUUUGUUUAUCUUUUCCACCAGUUCCCAAAAGCUCUGCAUGUAGUGGUCAAACUCGAUCUGUGACAUUGGGCAAGACACACUUCCUGUAGAAUCUUGUUGAUUUGUUUGCAUAAUGUGCGCAGUGUUGGACUCGAUGAUUUCCAAGGUCCCUCCCUGCUCUCAACAUCCACAAGCCUCCGUCAGCAUUUUGAGCAGCAAGAUGCAUUCUCACAGUCGUCCCUGGUGGCUCAGAUGCAGGCAUCAGAUCCCUGAGUCACAGGUAAGCAUCGUACUAUGAAGAGUUGUUGCAAGGAUCAAAUAAGAUGAUGGAUACAGAAGAGUUAUAGGUAAGAUGAGAAACUAGGCCCGGGUACAUUAGGAAUGGAAUUUCCAGUAUUAAAUUCUUGAUGACUGAAGACUCGGCUGGUCAGGCAAAAGACAAGAGGACGU